AAACGGCUCCGCAAACCAGUUGUAAACUAUAGCAAGCAAGCCCUGGCACCGGCGCAAGCUGGAGCUGGGGUAAUAGGGAUAACCCUGGUAAUUCUGAGGCUAAUACAAGAACGUAACCCCUGGUCGACUGGGCAACCGGAAGACUGGGGAAUGUGUAACUAUGCGCAAACGAAGCCAGGAAAAGAUACACGUUCAGAUCACCAUCCAAACAGUCUUGGGCCGAACCCUCACGGGUAAGGACCUCGUCUGGGUGACUCUUGCAAUGUGCUUCUGACCUAUCAACUAGAUGGCAGCGUAACGGACAUGCUAUGGUGACAACGGGUACAGAGGAUAAGGGUUCGAUCCUGGAGAGUGGGCCUGAGAGAUUGCUCACACUUCUAAGGAAGGCAGCAGGCGCGCAACGUUCCCCUUGGGCAAUGCUCGAGGGCGUUAGGGGACAUAUGAAUGUUUGCCUUAUGGUGGACAAUUCAAAUGGGUCUGUUCUAAACAGCCUCUCGAGUAACAAUUAG
rnacentral:rRNA from 1 species